ensembl:snRNA LOC120101217 U7 small nuclear RNA
CAAAAACAGCUCUUUUAGAAUUUAUUUAACAGGUAUUCUAAUUUGUUUGGAAAACCCAA